GGGACUCCCUUCUCUCCAUCUAGGCGACGGUGCUUGGUGAGGUAUGCAGUAGUGACCCUCACCCUCUCUCUCUCUCUCCUAUCUCAGAUCCAUAGAGGAUCCAUCCUUACCUUCUUCUCGUACUAGCCAGAUGGCAGCUAUGGUGGCCGAAUCUGGCAUCAAGGGCACCAAUUCCAGCGGCAGUACUGGCCAGAUCCGGUGGCGCUCCUCACCUCCCUUCCUUUUCUCACCUCCAGCUGCAAUGAGCUUCUUCGAUGGUGGCAGAUCGAGCACCUUUGGCUAAGGCGGUGCACGGAGCAGGGCCUGCUCUCCCAGCGGCGGCGGCCUAGAUCCAAGCCUGGUUAGGGCUAGGUAUGGGUUUUUUUGUUUUUUUAUUUGAUUAACCAUGGUAGGCAGCAAACCACCAUAGAAAAUAUGCCAUUUUAUGUGACCUUUGAUCCGAGGCGGUUACGAAAACUGCCUCAGUUAAUCAGUUUUGCCCGCGAUGGUAAUGUUUUUGUGUAGUAGUGGUAGCCAGUUGCAUGAGUGGCCUAACACCAUGCUAGACAUGCAAUAGUCAUGUCCUCUCUUUCCUUCUUGACUAUAUUCGUGCUCCUACCACUGCUAUUGCCGCUUUGCUCUUAUCAAUGGUACCAAAGAUCUCUGUCCUCAGACCCUUCUUGCUCUGCCAUUUCCUAUCAGAGUAUUCGGCUUACGAGUAACAUGAUCCAUUUGGAGGUCAGAUAAAUUUUGUAGGAGCCACAAAAUUUUAACCUAUGCAUAAGACUUAGGUUUCUAAUCAGUUAAGAAAAAAAGUAGGGUUUUUUCACACCACAAACACUUUUCAUGCUACCAUAUGUUUGACACAUUCUUUUUAGGAAUGACAUUAAUACACAUGGCCAUAUUUUUAUGUAGCCACCUGCAAGGAUCACUCACGAUUGAUGCCACACUCAUCUCCCUCCCCAUGCAUUGUGGCUUCUCCCAUUGAUGGUGGCGGUGGGUUCCUACAGUGGCUCCUCCCUGAUGUGGCUUCUCCAUCUCUCCCCUCAAGGUGGUAGGCUCUAGUAGCGGGUGGCAUGCUGAUGAUGUAGGCAACGUCCAUCUCCUCUUCCUCCUCUUGGAUAUUAGAGUUAGGGUUCUAGCAAGCUAUCCCUCUCAUUUUCCUUAACUUUGGUGGCCUUAGAAGGGAAGUGGUUUGGGGAAGGAAGGUCAGACAGGUGGUGGGAAGCUAUUAGGCAGUUUAGGGGCCCUAGCAGCAUUGGAGGUAGCCAAACCAGGUUAGGGCAGGGGCACCAUGGCCAUGG
rnacentral:lncRNA from 1 species